CCACCGGGGCACCUUCCUGGCGUGGAAAUUGCGAGAGUUAAGUAGUGCCUUGCAGGAGGCUGGGUUCCUGCGGGCUCGCUAGGUGGUUUCUCUGAGGAGCCUCUGCGGCAUUGCGCUCUCACCUUGACCAGAGGGUGCUCCAGCCAGUACUCCCGGGCUGAGGUUAAAUGCAGUGAGCUAGUCAUCGAAUUAUGAGGGCAAGAAUUCGCUAUGGUUAUUGGAAUGCCAUCUGAAGCCCUACUGUUCGGAAUCCAGUCCUGUCUUCACCGCGUUCUUUGAUUUGGUGGCAGCAGUGAGAUUGAAGGAGACUUCUGACAGCUUCAGGGACAAUGAGAAAUACAGGCCCAAUGCCCUGUGAAUCCUUUGAGUUCUUUGUCUUUUUUGAAGUUUCUGAGGGCCACAGAAAUUGUACGAUAAAAGGUGUGUUGGAUGAAGAGGUGAUCAAAAGAUAUACAGCCAAAACCAUAUAGAAAACAAGGCAGCAUAGAGGUAUGCUAAUUAGAGAGUUAAUUAAAAUAAAAAUACUGUAUUUAAGAAA